rnacentral:lncRNA from 1 species
AUCUGUGAUACAAUCUCUUCUACAAUCUUCCGAUUUGGUGUUUCAAGUGAUUCUUAGGCUUUUGCAUCUUCUUCAUCGCCCCAUCUGGCUAUCUCUCUGUGGCGAUUCAAGAAUAUGAAGGCCAUUCAAGGAGAUUAGUGAAAAUUUUACCAGAUCCAUGAAGAAUCUGACAUCUACGGUUCCGAUUUACAGGUUUACGUGUGAUCCUGAGGUCGCCAUGUAGUAAUCGUGCCAUGUAGUCGUUGAUGAUUUAGUGCAAUCUAGAGGCACUUUUAUUGAAUGCCAGGAGCUUAAUAAGGUGGCGGUGUUACAAAUAUCUAUGCCAAUAGAUGCUACAAAACCAAUUGUUCGAACAACAAUAGGAGCCACUUCAUAUGCUCUUCUGAACACGACUCGCUUAUAUGGAGAUUAGACCAUUCCCGGGUGCAUGUACCAAUUUCUAUAGGUACUUUGGUGUUUCUAUGUCAAGGGUGUAUUAGAUGUAAU